GAUGAACGCUAGCUACAGGCUUAACACAUGCAAGUCGAGGGGCAGCGGGAUUGAAGCUUGCUUCAAUCGCCGGCGACCGGCGCACGGGUGAGUAACGCGUAUCCAACCUUCCGUUUACUCAGGGAUAGCCUUUCGAAAGAAAGAUUAAUACCUGAUGGUAUCUUAAUGACACAUGUAAUUAAGAUUAAAGAUUUAUCGGUAAACGAUGGGGAUGCGUUCCAUUAGGUAGUAGGCGGGGUAACGCCCACCUAGCCAACGAUGGAUAGGGGUUCUGAGAGGAAGGUCCCCCACAUUGGAACUGAGACACGGGUCCAAAACUCCUACGGGAGGCAGCAGUGAGGAAUAUUGGUCAAUGGGCAGAGCCUGAACCAGCCAAGUAGCGUGAAGGAUGACUGCCCUAUGGGUUGUAAACUUCUUUUAUACGGGAAUAAAGUGAGGCACGUGUGCCUUUUUGUAUGUACCGUAUGAUAAGGAUCGGCUAACUCCGUG
rnacentral:rRNA from 1 species